rnacentral:rRNA from 1 species
AUUCCUGGUAAUGCAAGAGAAGCCAUCCAAUUAUUACCCUAAAUAGGGAUUUUUAACUAGCCCGCUCUAUUAGUGGAGAAAAAAAAUAAAAAAGUCUAAUUAGAUCUAUCUCGCAUUUUUGAGAACUCUUUGAGAAGGCGUUCAAGGGGUUCUCAAAUAAAACGAAAAAGUAAAAACCAGGGUUCAACCCUGGACAGGCGGUGGAAACUACCAAGCCGGAGUACGGUAGGGGCAGAGGGAAUUUCCGAUGGAGCGGUGAAAUGUAUUGAUGUAUUGAGAUCGGAAAGAACACCAACGGCGAAAGCACUCUGCUGCGCCGACACUGACACUGAGAGAUGAAAGAUAGGGGAGCAAAUGGGAUUAGAGACCCCAGUAGUCCUAGCCAUAAACGAUGGAUACUAGGUGCUGGGCGACUCGACCCGUGCAGUGCUGUAGCUAUCGCGUUAAACAUCCUUGAAAAGUAACCGACACCGACCAAGACAUAAUUUGUCUUUUUCCU